AAGUACCACCACCCACCGUCCACCACCCACCCCACUACCACUUCGAUAAACAAAAAAAUCCAACAGCGCCAGACAAUCCUUUCUUUUGCUGUACUUUUUGCCUCGGACUUUUAGCCAUCGUCUCUCAUCAGCGCAUUUUCAUCCUUUUCCUUUGCUCUCGUACCUUUUGCUCCGCCAAUCCUUUUACCCCCGCAUCUUUGGGAUUCGUUUUUAAUUUUCAGCUGAUUUUUUGAUUAAUGCUUAAACGUUAGCUCCUUUUUCCGCAGGACUCCUCGGGAGCCAUCCCUUUAUGCAAAUCUCCAGGCACUUUAAUUAGAAAAAACGAGAAAAUGUCUUUUUAGAUGGAAGGCUGCUGGGCUGGGGGAAAAAUGCCGUUCACUUCCAAGUUUUCCUCAUUAUGCCCGCUUUUUGUGUUUGUCAUUUAUAAAUUGGAAAAGUUUCCUUAAGCAAAUUAUGCAAUUUUUUCUCUAGUCGCCCUCUCCAAAAUUGAGGCAAUGUCCAAAGAAGAACCCUUUCGGCAAAAGUAACCCCAGAUUCAAGAGCUCCCUUUUGCGCUCAGCUGACGUUUUCUCAAAACAAACGUCACAUGGUCUUGCUUCCUUUUUGAUUUAUUUUUUUUAUAAUUUUUUUUUUUUUUGUUAUCCCCAUUCAGAUUUGUUGCUCGAGAUCCCUCAUUGAGGUAGGACCGCGACCACUACGAGUCGAGUUAAAGGUUCUCAAGGUUCGCGUCUUCAGGUUCCCAACGAGCUGGUGACGACUUUGCAUCCGCCUUUGCCUCUUUGCUGCCUUUUUUGCCCCGGUGCAUUCAACUUAAUGUCUUUGAUUUAUUACUGGCCGCCUUUGGCUUCCUUUCUCGGGGAAUCGCGGGAUUGGGUUUGGAAUCGGUAUCCGAACGAAUCUGAAUCUGAAUCUUGAAGCGAUUCCCGAUUGUGAGUCUGAAUGAAAGCGAAACAAUGCCCCCUUCUCAUCGUUUAUCCUGUUGUUAUCGGUUGACCCUGCUUUAUGUAGGUCUAUAGGCUACUACCUCAUGGCACUUUCGGUUUUCAACCGCCGAACAGCAGAGUUCUGUGAUUGCUGCUGCUGCUGCUGCUGGUUCACCCCUUCUGUUCUUUUCGUUUUUUUCUGCCUUCUUCCUCUUUCCUCCUUCUGGCUGUGAUGUAAUAAAUACGCAGCGAUCCCUAAAACCCGAUCCGUAUCUGUGUAUCUGCAUCUGUCUCUUUGUUCGCAUCCGAAUGGAACAUGUGCUUGCGCCCCUCGUUGGCCAUAAAUUGCCGUUGAGUUGAGGGAAAAUCCCUGUUGAUUAGUGGGAAAAAUCGAAAUGCUCAACGUUGAGCGGCGAAGAAUAGAAUUCCUAGCCGUACUUUGCGGUCAUCUGGGCGCAGAGAUUAUGUCAUAAAGAUAAAAGGGCACAACAAGUGUUGCCUUUGUGACCCGAGGUGUGUGCAUCGUAAUUAGCCCGGGGUUUUCAGGUGAGAUGGCGUCUUCCUGCUCCUCAGUAGAUGUCAGUCAUUGAGGAUUAUUCGGCAUGGGAUCUUGCCUGCUGUGCAAUAAGAACCAAUUAAGGUAUUGUUAUAUGAAACGCUAACAAGCUGUGUUUAAAGCAUUGGCUUUGAAGAAAUGUAAUUAAAAAACAUAGAACAUGUACCAUGUAAAUUAAAUUAAUAAUUUAAUUUAAAUCCACUUAAAGUCGCUAAUAAUAGGUGCUGCGUUUUUAACUACAGCUCUUUUUCAGAUAUUUAUUUCAAAUAUGUUAAUUUCCAUAUUGCACCUUGAUAGACUCAUCUGACAUGCAUUUUCAGCCAUGAUAGGCGCGCAAAUUGUUCGCCUAAUGGUUGCAUCACCGAAACAAGAACAACACCCACAAUUAGCGGCUGAACAAAAACAAUGCAAUUGACUGUGAGAAAAUACAGACUCAUGGCGGGAAAAACUCACUCAAGUCGUUUGUUUUUCGCCCGCUUUUCCCCUUUUGGACCCUUUUCGUGCCAGCUGCGUCAUACGCAAGACUUUUGAGUUUUGAGCCAAGAGUUCUGGGCCUUCUGAGUUCUGCGUUGAGUUCGCCGUUGUUUCUUGUGUUGUGUGGGGCUUAAAUGUCACGUUCGAUCAUUGAAGUUGCCCUGCACCCGCUUCCGCUCCCUUCGACCAUCCCUCUGGGGGCCAACUAAUGCAUAUGCCAAAGCGGGCACGUAGGCGCAUCAAAAGGAAAUGUCAGUCAGGCGACAAGCCCACAAACGGCAAAAGCAACACGGCCAACAUCACACCGAAAAAAAAGUGCAGUCCAUUUUGGACAUAUUUCUUAUCAAUCAGCUUACAAGAACCCGUCGGCAUUUAAACAAUCAUUACAGAGAAAAAUGGGUUUCCCUAUCAAAUUGGUAUGAUAUUUUGUUCAGUGCACUUAGCCAACAACAACAGCUGAGCUUUGGAUUCCAGGUUCUCAGUGGUAAUCCUUUGGCGAAACACGUGCAAACCCACACACAGAUACUGUGCGAAGCUCACAGAUACAAACACUCACAGAUACGAAUACGACCAACGAGUGUGGUGGGUUCUCGGACUUGUGGUGGGCUACAAAGCCACAAAAGCACGCCAGCAACAUGUUGACUGCAGCUGCUGCAGAAAUGCAUUUCGCAAAGCACACUCACACAGUCGCCGUCCGAAGAAAGAGAGGUGCAUAUAGGGUCAGAGGGAGAGGGCGAAUACAUAUAUACGUUUAUAUAUUUAUAUGUGCGAAUAUACGACUUUUUUUCUGCCUACCAAAAGUUGCCGUCGACGCCGAGGUUGCGAUUGUUGCUGCGGUGCGAGUGGCUUUUUUAGCCGCCACUUGCCAAUUGCCGCAUUCGCUAUUCGGCUUUGAAGCCGCUCGGGUUGCCAAAAGAACAGUUAGCCAGCAAUUCUCCGGAGAAUCGAAUGGAAACGAUUCUUCUGGGAAACGAACUCGUGACCGCCCACGUGUCCUACGUUCAACUCUAACUUAUAAGAACUCUAUCACCAUUUGUGUGUUUUUUCUGUGCGCCAAAAAGCCAAACGUUUUGAGUUUCAGAGAAAACUAGAUGUUCGCCAAAAAUUAGCUUAAACAUUUUCCGACAGUGUACUUGAUUGAGUGCUUGUGUUUGUGCCACCGAGUGUCUGUGUGAUUGCCAAUGUUUUUUGUGGCCUGCAGCUUUAAUUUCUUGAGGGAAAAUCACAACGACUUCGGGGGACCCCCAAAAAGGUAAGAAAUCAGCCAACGAAGAAACUUGGCCAAAAAAGGCCAGGCCAAGCCAUUCCAUGCCGGGCCAGGCCAGGCAGGCGGGCAGGCAGAAACUUACGAAACAAAACAAACAUAUUGCAACUUUUACUUUGGAUCUGAGGGCUGAACGUCUUUGGGCCCCCGAGGUCGGUUCGCUUUCAAGUUUCGUUUUUUGACAGCUGCUGUCAAAUGCUGAAAGGCAGCCCAAGCAGCUCCCAUUCGAGCAGAAAUCUAAAACAAGUCACACACGAAAAGAGUCGCAGUCGCAGUUUGGAGUAGGAGUCUCCAAGUCUCGAAGUCGAAGCCGUGCAAUCAGAACCUGGCUGCAGUCUCGGUCUUUGGGUCUCUUGGCUCCGGGCAUAUCGCCAAAACAUCUCUAUACCACCACACAUAUGGGCAUGAACAGCAGGGUUUAAUCUAAUAGUUUUCAACUUUUGCAAAUUUUGUUAUGAUAAUUAUUAUAAAUUUAUUCCAAAGACGUAUAGCCUUCAUUAGAUGCAACAUGUAAAUUUGAAAAAAUAUUUUAAUAAUGGUUAAGAUGUUUUUUGAAUUAUCAUAAACAUUGUGCUCUAGUUCAAAUCAAGCGGUGAAUGUCUUAAAAGACUUAAGCCAGUAGCUUAAAUAAGUACAACACCUUUAAUUUAUGACAGUGCUACAAAUGUUAUGUAAAAUUGUAGCAUUAUGGCAGUCUACAUCGUGUUCCUGACCUAUUACAGAAACAGUAGCUCAUUAAGGGGGCAAUUUUAGAAAUGUUUUAUAAAAUAAUUUUACGGCACUACAUCCUACUAUUAACUUAACCCCCGCUGUACAUGAGCACACCUUAUGGCCCGGCUAUGUUUCUUAACCUUCUCUAAGCAAGUUCUCAAAACAACAAAGAGAGAGGCAGGAAAAAAAAAACAAUGAAAACAUUUUUAUAGUUUUCAUGCACGAAGUCCACGAAAUGAAAAAUUCUACAAUUUAAACUGACAUUUAAAUUGAUAGUUCAAGAGAUGCACACGACAGAUACGAAACAGGGAGAGCAGCCAAAGCGGCUCGCAUAUACAUACCCUCGGAUACAAACGAGUCUAUCCAUAAGUAUCUGCAUCCACGUCGAUGUGGCAGUAUUCUGAGUGUACUUCGUACAUGAUGGGAAUGCAUAUAUGCCUGAUGCAUCGUUUUCCCGGCCUGAGCUUCUGAUGAUGUGGAGCUGUGGAACGAACUGCCAACUGAUGCUGAUAACAAAAAGCACACACCAUAGAAAAACAAUUGCCUGGGCAAAGAACUCUGAAAAAUAUUACUAUUAUGAUCAACCGCAUACGAAGUGUUGUGCUUGUGGCUGCCCUUGCUGCACAUGAUGGGAAACUUUUUGAGCAGGGUCAAAAGAAAGCCAGCAGUGCAAUGCAUUAAACCACAAUGAAUGGGUUUGAUCGAAGUACAAUUAGAAAUUAUGUAGUAUGAAGUGUUAAGGUGCUAUGCCAAGAAACUGACAUUGCAAUAACAUUGAACUACUGGG
rnacentral:sRNA from 1 species